rnacentral:rRNA from 1 species
UAAGGAAUAUUGGUCAAUGGACGCAAGUCUGAACCAGCCAUGCCGCGUGCAGGAAGACGGCCCUAUGGGUUGUAAACUGCUUUUCCAGGGGACGAAUAGCUUUUACGUGUAAGGGCAUGACGGUACCUUGGGAAUAAGCAUCGGCUAACUCCGUGCCAGCAGCCGCGGUAAUACGGAGGAUGCGAGCGUUAUCCGGAUUCAUUGGGUUUAAAGGGUGCGUAGGCGGACUGAUAAGUCAGUGGUGAAAUCCUGCAGCUUAACUGUAGAACUGCCAUUGAUACUGUUAGUCUUGAGUUUGGUUAAGGUAGGCGGAAUGUGUAAUGUAGCGGUGAAAUGCUUAGAUAUUACACAGAACACCGAUUGCGUAGGCAGCUUACUGGACCGACACUGACGCUGAGGCACGAAAGCGUGGGGAUCGAACA